rnacentral:rRNA from 1 species
GUUGGUGGAGUGAUUUGUCUGGUUAAUUCCGAUAACGAACGAGAUCUUUACCUGCUUACUAGACACGUGAAUCUUUACCGUUAAGCCUUCAUUAAAGCGUUUUGGUCCCUUCCUUCGGGAUGUGGACCCCUUUAGUGUUGGUGGACUGAUUCACGGAUGAGCUUCUUAGAGGGACUAUCUGUGUUUAACAGAUGGAAGUUGAAGGCAAUAACAGGU